rnacentral:rRNA from 1 species
GAUGAACGCUAGCGGCAGGCUUAACACAUGCAAGUCGAGGGGCAGCGCGGGAUAGCAAUAUCCUGGCGGCGACCGGCGGAAGGGUGCGUAACGCGUGAGCGACAUGCCCGUUGCCCGGGGACAACCGGUGGAAACGCCGACUAAUCCCCGAUGGGAUAUUGUGCCGCAUGGCACGAUAUUGAAAGUUACGGCGGCGACGGAUUGGCUCGCGUCCGAUUAGCUUGUUGGCGGGGUAACGGCCCACCAAGGCUGCGAUCGGUAGGGGUUCUGAGAGGAAGGCCCCCCACGAUGGGACUGAGACACGGCCCAUACUCCUACGGGAGGCAGCAGUGAGGAAUAUUGGUCAAUGGGCGGAAGCCUGAACCAGCCAUGCCGCGUGCGGGAAGGAGGCCAUAUGGGCUGUGAACCGCUUUUGCCUGGGGGCAAUAAGGGCGUCGCGCACGUCCGAUGAGAGUACCAGGCGAAUAAGCAUCGGCUAACUCCGUG